GGCUUGUCGUCAGCUCGUGUCGUGAGAUGUUGGGUUAAGUCCCGCAACGAGCGCAACCACUUGUCAUUUAGUUGCCAGCACGUAAUGGUGGGAACUCUAAGGAGACCGGCCGGUGACAAAACCGGAGGAAGUGUGGGGAUAGACGUCAAGUCAUCAUGGCCACUUACGACCAGGGCUACACACGUACUACAAAUGGUAGGGACAGAGGGCUGCAAAACCCGCGAGGGCAAGCCAAUCCCAGAAACCCUAUCUCAGUCCGGAUUGGAGUCUGCAACUCGACUCCAUGAAGUCGGAAUCGCUAGUAAUCGCAGAUCAGCAUUGCUGCGGUGAAUACAGUUCCCAGGGCCUUGUACACACCGCCCGUCACACCAUGGGAGUUUGUUGCACCAGAAGCAGGUAGCUUAACACUUCGGGGGGGCGCUUGCCACGGUGUGGCCGAUGACUGGGGUGAAGUCGUAACAAGGUAGCCGUAUCGGAAGGUGCGGCUGGAUCACCUCCUU
rnacentral:rRNA from 1 species